rnacentral:misc_RNA from 1 species
GAAUCCAGAACUGCUCCAAAAUCACCAUGAAUAUAUUGGGUUGAACUGCAUUCAUUGUGUCAACAAGGUUUGCAGAACCGUGCUUGACCAGAAAGAGUGACAUAAAAAUCAAGAGAGACUUGACAAAUUUUACAGUCCGCUUAUUUUGCAGGCGUGUAAAUAGGGCAUUCCAGAUGUGAACCAUGUACGGAGCAAUGACACCAUAGUCAAGAUUUUCAAUCACAGUGUUAAGCACAUAGAAGCCCUGUUCAUCAGUACUUGGGGAUGACACAAGCCUGUUGAAUAUUCCAAGCACCUGGCUAAGUCUUCCCUCUUGGUUGAGCUCAUGUGAGGCUUUCUGAAGGAAAGCUUGAAGUAGGCGCACAAGGGCCGGAACAUUUGAAUUUCUCUUCCAUGAAUCAGGAGACAGUAGAAGAGUAAAAAU